GACGAACGCUGGCGGCGUGCUUAACACAUGCAAGUCGAACGAUGAAGCCGGAGCUUGCUCUGGUGAAUUAGUGGCGAACGGGUGAGUAACACGUGAGUAACCUGCCCUUGACUCUGGGAUAACUGCUAGAAAUGGUAGCUAAUACCGGAUACGACCCUCGGAGGCAUCUCCAGGGGGUGGAAAGAAUUUCGGUCAAGGAUGGACUCGCGGCCUAUCAGCUAGUUGGUGAGGUAAAGGCUCACCAAGGCGACGACGGGUAGCCGGCCUGAGAGGGUGACCGGCCACACUGGGACUGAGACACGGCCCAGACUCCUACGGGAGGCUG
rnacentral:rRNA from 1 species